rnacentral:rRNA from 1 species
UACGAAGGGGGCUAGCGUUGCUCGGAAUGACUGGGCGUAAAGGGCGCGUAGGCGGCUUGCACCGUCAGAUGUGAAAUUCCUGGGCUUAACCUGGGGGCUGCAUUUGAUACGUGUGGGCUUGAGUGCGGAAGAGGGUCGUGGAAUUCCCAGUGUAGAGGUGAAAUUCGUAGAUAUUGGGAAGAACACCGGUGGCGAAGGCGGCGCCCUGGCUCGCAACUGACGCUCAGACACGACAGCAUGGGGAGCGAACGGG